rnacentral:misc_RNA from 2 species
ACACCCUCAAGCUCAGCUUGGUGAUGGGCGACUGUCCCCCCGCGGACUCGCCUCAAACGCAUCUGGCGGCUGGGCCGGCGGCUUCUCCUGCAGCACAUUUGCAGCGCGAGGCGCGCGGCUCCGGCGAACCACAAGCCCCUUUCUCAG